rnacentral:rRNA from 1 species
UACGAAGGGGGCUAGCGUUGCUCGGAAUGACUGGGCGUAAAGGGCGCGUAGGCGGUUUGUACAGUCAGAUGUGAAAUUCCUGGGCUCAACCUGGGGGCUGCAUUUUGAUACGUGCGGACUUGAGUGAGGAAGAGGGUCGUGGAAUUCCCAGUGUAGAGGUGAAAUUUCGUAGAUAUUUGGGGAAAGAACACCGGUGGCGAAGGCGGCGACCUGGUCCUUGACUGACGCUGAGGCGCGAAAGCGUGGGGGAGCAAACAGG